GGACAGCAUUUGGCAUUUGUUUUUUACAGUAAAAAUAAAUUUCAUUUGUGGGUACAUAUGCAGUAGAGGCGGGUGUGAAACCGAAAUACAUUGAUUUUGAGCAACGACGUCACUCUUUGCAAAUUCACGCCCAUGUCUUCGUCAACAAACCACCACCACCACCACCACCAUCAUCAUCAUCGUUAUUAAUACCCUCCGGGGAAGUUAGAAUUACCCCCCUUUUUCAUCAGACUCGGGAAGACGGCCCGUGUUACACUGACAGCAUCAUCUUCCAGAGAUGGGUGUCCCCCCCACCCUGCUUUCUGGGGAGCCCAUUCCAAGCGGUUGUUCAGCGAGAGUGUGUGAGAUUAUUAAUAAUUUUAACAGCCGACUUUGUGCAUCUUAAUAAGGCCGCGCGCCUUCGGAAGCUCCAGCAAGUUAAUUACAAACAGUUGCCUCGGGGCGGCAUUCACGAGGCAAUUAGGUUUAUGUUAUUAGGGUAAUAUAAAUUCACGCUUUAUCAUCCCAAAUGCACUUGCAGCACGACGAACAAUUACAACUGCUAGCGAAAACCGCUUUUAAUACCGGGACUGUGUGCGCAUCCCGGUGAGAGAGCACUUUCCCUGCUCUUCGUUUCUUCCUUUGUUAAGCAUUUCCUUCGGCAGAGAAUAAUUCGCUUAGAAUUGAAAUAAAUCGAUUUUUUUUUUAUUUUUACAUUAAGAGAACGCGUUUUGCGCACUAUUCCUGGAGCGGUUCUGGGUGCAUAGGGACGGAUACAUACAUCCGCACCCAGGCAAAAAAACGUUUUGCUCCACAACAGCGACGUGAGCCACCUUAAGCAGCUCUCUGAUGUCAACGUCAGUGCUGGCGAGAUGCUGCUCUCCUGGCAGCGCUCACUGACCGGGGAGCCGCGCUUCACAUCUCCCGAGCCCAGCCUGUCCGCCCUUCCUGUCCUCCUCCUGCCGAAUCCCAGGGAUUUCUCCCCGGCCAGGCGAGCCGGGCGCUGUGCGGGGAUCAGCGAGGCACCUCGGUCCCUACUCCCGCACAGGAAAAGAAAGAGAAGAAGCUCCGGCCUGGGAUGCUUCCAGGUCUUUGCAGCUUCAGUGGGGUGCACUGCGAACAACGUUUCAGUCGCAAGUUACCCCAAAAACCGCGGCACCUUUUCGACGUCAUAUCGCGCAAGAUGUGGCCAGACUCGUACCGCCAGUCACCACUGCUGGGUGUCUGUUUUUGCCUGUGGCCGGCCAUGCGGUGGCGCCGUGCUGGCCUGUGAGCAUCAGUAGAGAUGCGCUGGCGUGGACAGGAGGCUACUUGUUCUGAAGGUAACCUUUCCGGCGCUCUGUGGGUGUGGCGGGAGGUUGGUGUGAUUUGGAAUGCUGAGCACAAUGCUCCGAUUGAGCCAGAGGGUGGGGAUAUAUGGCUUAACGCCUCCCUGGAUUCCUCAGAGAAAAACUAAAAGGAAACAACAGCUUUCCCUGCCAAACUGCCCAGCACAUGGAAGUGUUACCCCCUGUUUACAGCAGCACACACGGGCAUGGAGCACUGAACGCUGUAGAUUCGGGGCUGCGAUGGUCUUAAUGCAGAGGUGAGUUCACAUCGGCUUCAUAGGCAGAUACCACAGUGAAGGAGGGGUCUUCUGGAAUU
ensembl:lincRNA